GAUGAAGAACGUAGUGAAAUGCGAUAAGUAGUGUGAAUUGCAGAAUUCAGUGAAUCAUCGAAUCUUUGAACGCACAUUGCGCCCCUUGGUAUUCCAUGGGGCAUGCCUGUUCGAGCGUCAUUUGUACCUUCAAGCUCUGCUUGGUGUUGGGUGUUUGUCUCGCCUUUGCGUGUAGACUCGCCUUAAAAUAAUUGGCAGCCGGCGUAUUGAUUUCGGAGCGCAGUACAUCUCGCGCUUUGCACUCAUAACGACAGCGUCCAAAAGUACAUUUUACACUCUUGACCUCGGAUCAGGUAGGGAUACCCGCUGAACUUAAGCAUAUCAAUAAGCGGAGGA
rnacentral:misc_RNA from 1 species